rnacentral:rRNA from 1 species
GCGGGACUCUUCCGAGGCCUCGCAAUCGGAAUGAGUUAACUUUAAAUCCUUUCGACGAGGAUCGAUUGGAGGGCAAGUCUGGUGCCAGCAGCCGCGGUAAUUCCAGCUCCAAUAGCGUAUAUUAAAGUUGCUGCGGUUAAAAAGCUCGUAGUUGAAUCUCACGAUUCAACAGGAAGUGAGCGCCGUGGUGGUAGUAGCAAUUACAGUAUUGCUACUACUAAAAUUCACCUUCUCAUUCGUCUCGUUACGGUAGAAGAAGAAGGAGGAUGUCAAAAGCUCGAACAGGGUGUUAAUAAGACGGUGCGAGUUAAUGUUUCGAAAGUGGUGGUAGCGGAGGCGGUCGUCGUUGCUGCUGCUGCUGCUGCUGCAGCAGCUGUUUGUACUGCGGCGGUAGUGGCAAAAAACAACUGAUUGACCGUGGCCGCUGCCGCUUCUAAUACUUCGUUCAUCGUCGGUUCCCUAUUCGUUGCAUUGUUUCCUUUUACUACUGGUUCUCUUUCUUCUUUCCAACGAACGGGAAAGAGAGGGUGAAAAAGAAAGUGCCACUGUGUAAUAAUCGUCAUCGUGGAUUACAAUCAUCAUCCUCCCCCCCCCCGCCGGCAGUAUCCAUCAGCAGCAGCAGCGGGCGGCGGCGGCGGCGGCGGCCCCCCCCCCCCCACCAUUAGUAGUUGUUGUUAUUAUAAUAAAAUACUACCUCCUCCUCCUCCGACGCGGCUGCUGCUGCUGCUGCUGCUGCUGCUGCUGCUGCUGGCUCUCGCGCGCUCGCUCGCGUUCGGUCGGCAACUUCACUUUGACAAAAUUAGAGUGCUCAGAGCGGGCAAGAUCUGAAGCCCGAAUGGAGGUGCAUAGAAUGAUCUAAGAUGACCUCGCGAUCUAAACGUU